UACGAAGGGGGCGAGCGUUGUUCGGAAUUACUGGGCGUAAAGGGCGCGUAGGCGGCGCACCAAGUCAGGCGUGAAAGCCCUGGGCUUAACCCAGGAAUUGCGUUUGAGACUGGCGUGCUGGAGUGCAGGAGAGGUCGGCGGAAUUCCCAGUGUAGAGGUGAAAUUCGUAGAGAUUGGGAAGAACACCGGUGGCGUAGGCGGCCGACUGGACUGUAACUGACGCUGAGGCGCGAAAGCGUGGGGAGCAAACAGG
rnacentral:rRNA from 2 species